UCACUUACCUGGCAGGGGGAAUACCAUGAUCAGGAAGGUGGUUUCCCCAGGGUGAGGCUCUUCCAUUGCACACUUCGGUUGGGUUGACCCUUGUGAUUGAUUUCCCCAAAUGUGAGAAACUCAACUGCAUAAUUUAUAGUAGUGGGGGACUGCGUUCGCACACUUUUA